AGUCCAUGAAUUGAAGGAAAACCUCCCUACAAUUUAAUUGCAACCUCAAAACUUCUACCAGUUUCAUGAAUUACUAUCACAGGUAAAUCUUAAAGUGAGUGUCAUCAAUUCAUGGAAAUAUAUGGACUAUGCCAUAUACUAUCCACCCCCUGCUCAGAGAUGCUAUGAAGAGAUUGUCCAGAAUAUUUAGAAAUAUUAAAACACUGUGGGUGAUGAGAGCAAUCAAAGAAAUAGAAAGGUAUGAAAAUCAGGAGAUGUGGAAGAAAGCCCUAAAGUACCAAUUUUUAUUAACAAAUGGAAAGUUCAAAUGGUGCUUAAAAAGGAUUAUUAUAGAACAAAACUAUGAUUUGCAAUACCUAAAGCUGAGGUAAAAACAGU